CAGGUGCGCAGCCGCGGGGCGCAGUGGGGCUGCGCGCGGGCGCUCGCGGCCGGCUGGAGGUGCCCGGCGAUCGGCCCCGCUCGAGCGGGGGACACUCACCGAGCGGCUGGAGAGUCUUUUCCGGGAGCUCCGGCUGAACAUGGCCGGACGCCUCCUGCUCGCAGCGCCGUCCGUCGGCAAUACAGUUACUAAAGGAACUUGAAGAGAUCCUCAUACAUAAUUGUCAACACGGGAAGACGCCUUUGCUAUAAUGUAAGGUGGAAAAACAAAACCCGAAUAGACUGUCUGCCUGUAAUUGCUCCUAAAAUAUGCAUCAAGAAACUGGAAAGAAAUACACAACACGUUAAAAUGCAUGAAUCAGACAUAUGUCAUCAGAAAGAAUUAAAUCAGGAGAUAACUGGAAUAAAGAGAGCAGUGCAGGCCACUGUUUGCAGAAUACAUUCAAAAGUAUUAUAUUGGGACUCCAAGACUCACAGUGAGGUCAGAAAAGGAAACAAACACUCGCUGAAGCUGUGUGACUUCCCCGACACGUAUGCUGGGUGCUCCACCGGAUUGUCUGAAUCCGACCUGCAGACAAGAAAAGAGAAGGUAAAGAGUCAGUGAGGACUGGUGGACGUAUUUUCCCCAGAUUUCAU
rnacentral:lncRNA from 1 species